UACGGGGGGGGCAAGCGUUGUUCGGAAUUACUGGGCGUAAAGGGUUUGUAGGUGGCUUGCUAAGUCAGACGUGAAAUCCCUCAGCUUAACUGAGGAACUGCGUCUGAGACUGGCAAGCUUGAGUGCAGGAGAGGAACGCGGAAUUCCAGGUGUAGCGGUGAAAUGCGUAGAUAUCUGGAGGAACACCGGUGGCGAAGGCGGCGUUCUGGACUGCAACUGACACUGAGGAACGAAAGCCAGGGGAGCAAACGGG
rnacentral:rRNA from 1 species